GCAGCCUCCCGCGCCGUUGACUCAACACGCGCUUGUAAAGCACCAGCUGCGCCCGGGCCCUUCACCACUGGUAGUUGAGAAGCAUCCAGAAACCGAGGAAAAUUGUGGCAGGGAUCAGGAGCCUAGAGCACCCUAAACAGAACAAUGAACCCCUCAGCAGGCACCUGGGCGAAGGCGCAGGCCCUAAUGAAGGGGCAGAGUGAGGGGUGCAAGGAUCGGGCGUCGGAACCAGAGGGAGGGGUGAUCACUUGCCAUGUCUGGAGUCGGGGAAUAAGCCUGAUGAUGCUGGGGAGGCCGCGCCCCCACACCAUCCACGAGUCCAGGGCUGUGGCCAGGCCCCCCACGGUCCCCCACAGCCCCCCCACAGCGCCUUCCCUGUGCUCGGACGCGCUGCAGAGAGCUGCCUUCCUGGGCAGAGGAGCUGUCUCCAAGACCAGAAAGCUGAAUUUACAAAAUUGCGAAUUUUGUAACCAUGGCCCUACAUAGAUGUGCCAGGGGCUGGUGACCAGAAAGCUAUGGGUGUAUUGGAAACUUUAAAAAAGCAUUUUAGAUUUUAUAACUCAAUGAAACACAAUUAAAUGACAAGGAAAUAGAAGUGUCAACAAAACCAAAACUUAGAGGCUCCUUGAUAGAUCCUGGCGGUCAGCAGCCACACAGUUUGUAGGUGCUGUUCCACCACUCUAGGCCUCGCUUUUGUGGCCACCCUGUGCCCUCAGAUGCGAAAAUACGAAAUGAACUCUUUGUCGCUCACGUCUAAUGUACUUAGUCCUUUUUCUUUUGUUCAUAAAAUUCAAGAGGCAUCUAAUCUUCAAGGAAAGUGCCACUGCCAUCUCGAGGCAGGGGGAUUUGAGUUUGUGAUUUAUCCUUGGCCCUGCGUCCCAAUCUCCUCGGUGUUAGCAGCAGUUUCUAGAGCCGUAAAGAGGAGCCCGAGGGAGUUAGUGGAGGGGAUGCAAGUAGAGUCCGCUCACUAAAACAACAAUGACACCACCUCAGAAGAAACGCAAAGACUCCUCCCCAGUUACUUGUAUAAAACAAGUGAAAUGAGUUGAAGACAUUCUAGGUUUUAGUAAGAAUCUGGGCUGUCUCCAUGGGCGGACAGAGCUGAUACGGAAAUUGUUGAGUCCAGGAACGAAAUAAUCAUUAUCCUAGCCUUGCUUAUAGCUUGGAGUGGAUACGAGGUCUAAUUCUGGAUCACAAGAAGAAAAGAAAGUUCUGUUGGGCUGCUUCUCAGAAAGCUUUGGAUUUCUAUAAAAAGACACAGAUUUGGCUGAUACUGCCCUGCCUCCUUUGUCUUGCUUUGAAAUCACCCCUUGGACAUUGUUUCCAUCAAAGUCACAAAGUACUUUGUAAUUGAAAACAACACAAAUGUUAUUCCUUUAAUGUUCUGGAGGUCAGAAAUCAUAAAUAGGCAUAAGUGGGCUAAGAAAGCAUCCAGGUAAAGGUAGGACAGUGCUCCUUUUGGAUACUCUAGAGAGACUGUCUUCUUACCUUUUCUAGCAUGACUGCUGGAGGCCAAGCCAUUCCUGAACUCACGGCCCUCUCUGUUCUCAAAGCCAGCAGUGCUGCCUGAAUCUUUCUAUGCUGACUCUUUUCUGUCUCCAUCUUCUGUUUAUAAGGAUCCUUGGGAUUAUACCGGGCCCACCCAGACAAUCCAAAAUAGUCUCUCCAUCUCAAGAUCGGUUGAUGAGAGGCCUUAAUUUUAUCUGCACCCUUAAUCCCAUUUCACCGUGUAAACGAACAUAAAAUAUUCCAAGGAAUAGAACUUGGAUCUCAUUGGGGAGAAAUUAUUCUCCCAAUCACAGACAUGAAACCAGGAGCUGUAGCAGCCAUAUUGGCAGUAAAACAAAAGCCAGCAACCAUGUACGCUUCUUGUUACAUGAGAAAAAUACACACCUGUACUUGUGAUUUCUGUUGCUUGCAGCUUCAUACAUCUCUAAUAGAUACAGACUCUGUUCAAAAAUAAAAUUAACAAUUAAAGAGGUUAAAUGCUC